UACGUAGGGUGCAAGCGUUGUCCGGAAUUAUUGGGCGUAAAGAGCUCGUAGGCGGUUUGUCGCGUCUGCUGUGAAAACUCAGGGCUUAACCCUGAGCCUGCAGUGGGUACGGGCAGACUAGAGUGUGGUAGGGGAGAUCGGAAUUCCUGGUGUAGCGGUGGAAUGCGCAGGAUAUCAGGAGGAACACCGGUGGCGAAGGCGGAUCUCUGGGCCAUAACUGACGCUGGAGGAGCGAAAGCGUGGGGAGCAAACAGGA
rnacentral:rRNA from 1 species